rnacentral:rRNA from 1 species
UACAUGGGGUGCAAACGUUGCUCGGAAUUAUUGGGCGUAAAGCGCACGUAGGCGGUUCGUUAAGUCGGAUGUGAAAGCCCUCGGCUCAACUGAGGAAGUGCACCCGAAACUGGCGAGCUUGAGUACGAAAGAGGAUCGCGGAAUUCCCGGUGUAGAGGUGAAAUUCGUAGAUAUCGGGAGGAACACCGGUGGCGAAGGCGGCUCUCUGGAACGCAACUGACGCUGAGACGCGAAAGCGUGGGGAGCAAACAGG